rnacentral:rRNA from 1 species
GACGAACUGUGCGAACGUUAUUCGGAAUCACUGGGCUUAAAGCGCGUGUAGGCGGCCCGGCACGUCCGUCGCUGAAAUCCCCCGGCUCAACCGGGGAAGUGGCGUGGAUACGACCGGGCUGGAGGGGGGUAGGGGGAGCCGGAACUUCCGGUGGAGCGGUGAAAUGCGUUGAGAUCGGAAGGAACGCCCGUGGCGAAAGCGGGCUCCUGGACCCCACCUGACGCUGAGACGCGAAGGCCAGGGGAGCGAACGGG